UACAGAGGGGGCAAGCGUUUGUUCGGAUUUACUGGGCGUAAAGGGCGCGUAGGCGGUCGUGACAAGUCACUUGUGAAAUCUCCGGGCUUAACUCGGAAAGGUCAACUGAUACUGUGCGGCUAGAGUGCGGAAGGGGCAACUGGAAUUCUUGGUGUAGCGGUGAAAUGCGUAGAUAUCUGGAGGAAUACCGGUGGCGAAGGCGG
rnacentral:rRNA from 1 species